rnacentral:rRNA from 1 species
AGUGAACGCUGGCGGUAGGCCUAACACAUGCCAGUCGAACGGCAGCACAGUAAGAGCUUGCUCUUACGGGUGGCGAGUGGCGGACGGGUGAGGAAUACAUCGUAAUCUACUUUUUCGUGGGGGAUAACGUAGGGAAACUUACGCUAAUACCGCAUACGACCUACGGGUGAAAGCAGGGGAUCUUCGGACCUUUCGCGAUUGAAUGAGCCGAUGUCGGAUUAGCUAGUUGGCGGGGUAAAGGCCCACCAAGGCGACGAUCCGUAGCUGGUCUGAGAGGAUGAUCAGCCACACUGGAACUGAGACACGGUCCAGACUCCUACGGGAGGCAGCAGUGGGGAAUAUUGGACAAUGGGCGCAAGCCUGAUCCAGCCAUACCGCGUGGGUGAAGGAGGCCUUCGGGUUGUAAAGCCCUUUUGUUGGGAAAGAAAAGCAGCAGGUUAAUACCCCGCUGUUCUGACGGUACCCAAAGAAUAAGCACCGGCUAACUUCGUG